GGAGAGAUGCGUGAGUGGCUGAAACGGACGGUCUCGAAAACCGUUAAGGGGUUACCCCCUUCGAGGGUUCGAAUCCCUCUCUCUCCGCCA
rnacentral:tRNA from 1 species